GGGCCAGGGGAUGCUGGCGAGGAGACCGGCGGAUGCUCUGACGGCGGCCCGUUGCCCACCAGCUGUUUACUGGGGCUGUGUCCGGGCGCCCCGAGCCGUGCUCCCCCACCUGGGAUCCCUGGUGGUGACCAGGGCACGCUCGCCAGAUGCCCGGCCAAGGGAGACGCUCCAGCCUCCGGCUACUGGGGCUUUCCCGGAGAGAAGCUGAGGCGGCUGUGCCCGAAAGAAAUACUCAGUUCUUAGAAUUACUGGUCCCCUGGUGUGAUAGGGCAGGGAGCUACUGGAGAAGGGCUCUGGCUGGAGCAGGUGGGCUGGAGCAGGUGAGUCUGCUGGGGAACUCUGGGGCUGAGCCAGUGCUGCUAGUACAGUACAUGAAGAGUGUCAGAAACAGCUCCUACCAGUGUACCAGUGCCAGGCCAAGUGGGUGGAAGGGGAAUGUAAAAAAAAAAAAAAGUGCCUGCCAGACCUUCCAUCCCCAGAGAAUGUUAUAACAGGUCCCUGCCCCUUUGGCAUGUGCCCUAAAAUUUGUCAGUGAUUCUCCUUCAUGUGUAACCCAGGUACUUUUCAGACUGCUGCCUCUGCACUGGGUCUUGGAGUAAGUGAAGUUGUGCAUGUGCCCUUGAAGAGCAGAGUCUUGGUUUCUGACUGUUCUCUGGCUCUCCUGGACAUAAGCCCUGCUAGUUUUCAAAGACAUACAUUAUGGGGUCUCAUCUUCCUGGUGCAGCUCCCCUGGGCUGGAGAACCCAAUGCUGGGCUCAGACCCCUUAUUUGUCACAAUCACAAUAUUGUGAUAUCCCUUUCAUUUGUAGGUUGCUACACCAGGGGUAUGGGUCUUCAGUGUGUGUUUUCUUUAUAUCUUUAGUUGUGUGAAAUCCUUUCUGUUAAUCUCAAAUUUUCAGAGAUAAUUGUUUUAUAUGUAGCUGAAGUUCUGGUUUGUUUGUGGGAGGAGGUGAGGAUCUUCUCACUCUGCCAUCCUCAUCUUAUCUCUAGGUAACAAAUCUUUACAUGAAAUUCUCAGUGUUUAAAUAUAUGAUAUGGUUUCUGUCUCCUACAUGGACUCUGACCAGUGCUGUAGGUCUGGGAUAGAGUGUAAGAUUCUGCAUUUCUGAUAAGCUUCAAGGUAAUGCCCACUUGCUGGUCCAUAGUCCACAGUUUUAAUAGUGAAUAGCUAGAGAAAUGAUUUGCAACAUUUAGCUGCAUAGUCAAGUCACCUGAGAGCUUUUGGAAACUACCAGUGACUGGAUGCCACCCUGAGUGAGUCUGACUUAGUUAACUUGAGGUGUGGCCUAACUAUUGAGUUUUUAAAAGUCUUUCUAGAUUACUCUAAUGUGCAACCAGAGUUGGGGACCUUUGUUCUAGAGUGGUGGUUCUUAACCAGAGACAAUUUUGUACACACACCCCUCCCCCAUUAGGAUAUAUUUUUUUUAUUUUCACAAUUGGUGGUGGGUGCUACUGGGAUCUGGGGAGGAGAAGCCAAGGAUGCUACUAAGCAUCCUAUAAUGCACAAAUAGUCCUCUACAACAAAGGAUUAUUCCACCCAAGAUAUCAAUAGUGCUGAGGUAAAAAAAAUCAUGAUCUAAAAGAUGUGACAAGGUCAGCCCAGUUCAUCUCUUUAUCUGUUUGCUUAUUCAUUCAGUAAAUAUAUUUAUUGAGCAUCUACUAUGAGCUUAUCUCAGUGUUGAAGACUACAAAAAAAAAUUGGGAGCCACAUGUUCUCAGAGGGAAUAUUAAGAGAACCUUAGGAGAGAGAAGACAGUCCUAUAAUGUGCUUGUUGGAUAAAGAUGCAUGUUUUGUUUGUUACUUUUUUGGGUCCUGAAUUUAGCCUCAUGUAUUCAAGGUCUGAUUAUUAGAGUAUAGACAUUUUGGUGGGGAGCAUUAUUCUUCCUACUACAGGGCCAUAAUGUAUAAGAGUAUGAAAAAUACAGCUUUAUGAUAAAACAUUCUGCUUCAAAUAUAUCAAGUAGCCUUGAAGUGCUUAGAUGUACUAGUGGAUCAGGCUUAAUGUCAUGUCUCAUGUGUCUUUAAGCCUCAAUUUGAGGAUUGUUUUUGCUUUCUAUUAACAUGGAAAUCCAUUCAUAGGUUUGAAAUGUCUGCAAUAACUGUGCCACUUUCUAUUUAUUCUUUCCUUAAGAGCAAUUAGUAUGAUACUGUAACAUGGAAUAGUAAAGUCAAAUCAGCAUUAUCUUUAAACACAUAAAAGCCAAAAAGGAAACAAAGUGAACCUACUCUUUUCAGAAAAGAAAAUCUACACUUCCUGCUUCAGAGAUUGUUCCACCUCUCUUGAUGAACAUUCUUUUUGUCUCCAGUCUUAUUAUAUAUAGCAUUUUAUGAGGUUGUGAACAUUUGUCAAGCUUGCAUUUCCCUUUAGAAAAGUGCAUGAGCUCAAGGAUCAUCAGCUUUGACCACUGCUGUAACUCUAUGAGAAAAGUAGGGGUCAUUCAGUUUUCAUUUGGGAAAAACAAGAUAUUAAGUUGUAUAAAGAAGGUCAAAUGGUUAGUAAAUUUAGACAUACCAAUGUAGAAAAUUAUGUAAACAUUUUGAGUUAACUUGUUUUUGUUGAGUACUUAAUGUGGGCUUAGCCCAGUGCCAAGUGUUGGGGAAAUUCACAAGUAGAGGACCACGUACUAGCCUUAUGAAACUUAGAAUUUUGUUUGGGAGGUAAGAUGGAAGUGUGCAUCCAUGUGCAUGUGUGUGCAUGUCAUGUGUGUUUAUAUGGGCAUGUGCAGUUAGAUAUCAGUAUUAUACCUGUGUAUGUGCCUUUGCAAGUAUGUGUCUGUGCUUCCAGGUGUUUGGGCAUGUGUAUGCAUGUGUGCACAUGUUUUUGUGUGUGCACAUGCUAGUGUGUGUGCAUGUGUAUGUGUAACUGAGCUUUAGUGGUAGUGGAGUGCUCAAAUGGAUGCACCUUUGAAUCAAGCUGACCUUUCCUCAAUUCAUCUUUAUGGAUAUCCUCUUCUCUGUCUUAUUUUGAAUAUGUCCUGUUAAAACUUUGCAUGAAAUCAUACCUUGGCUUAGUUAUUAGCUUAAACACUAGGAUGAUUUGUGAUUGGCCAGCUAAUUAGGACUUAUCAAGGGAGACUUUAAGUUCUUUGCUCUUUUUGACUUUUCUGUUUCCUGAAACAGAUUGACCUAGUGGAAAUCCAGAUUUAAUUAACUGUCAAUAUAAAAGCCUUAGGGAAAGGCAAAAAAAAAAAAAAA
rnacentral:lncRNA from 1 species